rnacentral:rRNA from 1 species
GCUUUCUGGUGAUUCAUAAUAACUUCUCGAAUCGCACGGCCUUGCGCCGGCGAUGGUUCAUUCAAAUUUCUGCCCUAUCAACUUUCGACGGCUGGGCCUUGGCCAGCCGUGGUGACAACGGGUAACGGAGGGUUAGGGCUCGACCCCGGAGAAGGAGCCUGAGAAACGGCUACUACAUCCAAGGAAGGCAGCAGGCGCGCAAAUUACCCAAUCCCGACUCGGGGAGGUAGUGACAAUAAAUACUGAUACAGGGCUCUUUUGGGUCUUGUAAUUGGAAUGAGUACAAUUUAAAUCCCUUAACGAGGAACAAUUGGAGGGCAAGUCUGGUGCCAGCAGCCGCGGUAAUUCCAGCUCCAAUAGCGUAUAUUAAAGUUGUUGCAGUUAAAAAGCUCGUAGUUGAACCUUGGGCCUGGCUGGCCGGUCCGCCUCACCGCGUGCACUGGUCCGGCCGGGCCUUUCCCUCUGGGGAACCGCAUGCCCUUCACUGGGUGUGUCGGGGAACCAGGACUUUUACUUUGAACAAAUUAGAUCGCUUAAAGAAGGCCUAUGCUCGAAUACAUUAGCAGGGAAUAAUAGAAUAGGACGUGUGGUUCUAUUUUGUUGGUUUCUAGGACCGCCGUAAUGAUUAAUAGGGACAGUCGGGGGCAUCAGUAUUCAAUUGUCAGAGGUGAAAUUCUUGGAUUAAUUGAAGACUAACUACUGCGAAAGCAUUUGCCAAGGAUGUUUUCAUUAAUCAGGAACGAAAGUUAGGGGAUCGAAGACGAUCAGAUACCGUCGUAGUCUUAACCAUAAACUAUGCCGACUAGGGAUCGGACGAUGUUAUAUUUUGACUCGUUCGGCACCUUACACGAAAGUAAAGUUUCUGGGUUCUGGGGGGAGUAUGGUCGCAAG